rnacentral:rRNA from 1 species
UACGGGGGGGGGCAAGCGUUGUUCGGAAUUACGUGGCGUAAAGGGCUCGUAGGUGGCCAACUAAGUCAGACGUGAAAUCCCUCAGCUUAACUGGGGAACUGCGUCUGAUACUGGAUGGCUUGAGAUUGGGAGAGGGAUGCGGAAUUCCAGGUGUAGCGGUGAAAUGCGUAGAUAUCUGGAGGAACACCGGUGGCGAAGGCGGCAUCCUGGACCAACACUGACACUGAGGAGCGAAAGCCAGGGGAGCAAACGGG